UACGUAGGGUGCGAGCGUUAAUCGGAAUUACUGGGCGUAAAGCGUGCGCAGGCGGUUCGUUAAGUCAGCUGUGAAAGCCCCCGGGCUCAACCUGGGAAUUGCGGUUGAAACUGGCGAACUAGAAUCUGGCAGAGGGGGGGUGGAAUUCCACGUGUAGCAGUGAAAUGCGUAGAGAUGUGGAGGAAUACCGAUGGCGAAGGCAGCCCCCUGGGAUAACCACGUGACGCUCAUGCACGAAAGCGUAGGGGAGC
rnacentral:rRNA from 1 species